AAAGAACAGAGAGGGAAACAUGGAGGUCAGAACAGUCACCGUCACUGCUGUCCUCCGGUCUGAGAGACGAAAACAUGUCAUCUGUCGACUACACAGAUGUAGCACAUAUUUAUUUUGUCCUCUUUUCCUCUCAUUCACCUCAAACUAAGAAAUGUAUGAAACUCGUUUAGUGUAAUUUAUUAUACUACACAUUUAUUCCUUUUACUGAACCAGCGUCUGUGAGAGUCAGCGGUAUGCUGCAGGUGUUUGCGGUAUGCUGCAGGUGUUAGCGGUAUGCUGCAGGUGUUAGCGGUAUGCUGCAGGUGUCAGCGGUAUGCUGCAGGUGUUAGCGGUAUGCUGCAGGUGUUAGCGGUAUGCUGCAGGUGUUAGCGGUAUGCUGCAGGUGUCAGCGGUAUGCUGCAGGUGUUAGCGGUAUGCUGCAGGUGUCCGCGGUAUGCUGCAGGUGUUCGCGGUAUGCUGCAGGUGUUAGCGGUAUGCUGCAGGUGUUAGCGGUAUGCUGCAGGUGUUAGCGGUAUGCUGCAGGUGUUAGCGGUAUGCUGCAGGUGUUAGCGGUAUGCUGCAGGUGUUAGCGGUAUGCUGCAGGUGUUAGCGGUAUGCUGCAGGUGUUAGCGGUAUGCUGCAGGUGUUAGCGGUAUGCUGCAGGUGUUUGCGGUAUGCUGCAGGUGUUUGCGGUAUGCUGCAGGUGUUUGCGGUAUGCUGCAGGUGUUGGAUUUUGUUACCUUUGGACAGCUAGCAUGUAUUUCUGACUUGCUGUAGAAAAGGUGACAGAACUGAAAUAUGGUUUAUUUUGAAUCUGAAACUCUUUAAAACUGAACCUCAUUAAAGUAGCUUAAAGGUUAUAUUGAUAUUUUUAUGUAUUCAAAUACUUAAAAAAACAUUCACAGACCUUUUUAAAAAACUUUGAAGGGUCCAAAUGAAUGAUUUGUUUAUCUCUGCGUCUGACUUUGCUUCCUGCUUCUAACAAGGCCUGUGAGCCAAUAGUAUAACGGCGUUGGUAUCACGUGGUAUAGCUGCCAGUUAGUGAGGAGAAAUCAGACACUGACGUUAGCACAUAGUAGCAACCUUAGCUCAAUAGUCUUAAUUUCAGUUCUGCAUAUUUAAACAAGAUAAACAACAACUUUCCGACAGCCAUAGUCCUUAAAACCUAAACUAACGUGUUGUCACCGGUUAGAUUGUCAAAAUGAGAAAAAGAACAGCUUCAGUCCCCGAGGAGCUACGUUAGCAUUAGUGACGGUUGCGUCCAGUUAGCUAACGUUAUAGUUCCCUCAAACAAUGUACCGUUAUAACGAAGGUGCGUAUCAGAGGGGAUUUAGAGGUGGGCCAGGGUCCGACAUAACCGACGGCCCGGGCCCAGUACAGGGCAAGUCGGCUGACCAGUCACUGGUCCGUCCGGGCCGGUGGCGGACUGGUCCGCUUAUGAAAACAGUCGCUCUUCUUUAUGAACGGUAAAAAAGUAAAUCUACUGUAAUUGCUAUAAGAACUACAUUUAAUUUUAAAUUUGGUUUACACACAGUCCGUAAACCUCGUAUCUUUUCAGUAAAUGUCCUAAAGGGAGGCAUCUCCCCCAUUUCCCCUACUUUCUGGUUAAAGCAUGUGCUUCUUCAACUACGAGGCGACCUCGCUGCCUAAUGGAGCAGUAAAGGAGGUAAAGAGAGAAUUAAAGUAGAGGGAAAGUGUGAGAGGGUCCUUGUAGUUCAGAGAAACAGACACAUCAGCCUUGGAGGUGAUUAGAAUCAGCUCGGGUCUUCUCCUCGUGACAGCGCUCUCAAUCAGCACCAGAAUAAUCCAUACAACUGCUGAGUUGGCGUGCCAGCUAAGCUAAAUCAAGCGCACCUCCGGGAUAACAUGAAAUAUGUAUUGAGGUAUGAAUUGGACCAAGGUCUGCUGCCCACAGAGGUUUUCAGCCACAAUCAGCAGUUACCACACAGCUGACUCACACACACCUAUAUGUAUGUAUAAGCUAAUUAUAUAGCAAAUAUACAGUAUAGUGUGUGUGUGUACAUAUAUUCUGAUGAUGCAUUUAUACAUGAUGUUUUUUAUAUUUGUGUGUUUGACGUGUUUCUCUGUUUCAGGGAUUGAUUUUAAAUGAACAAACAGCCCACACACAGUGUGUGUGUGUGUGUGUGUGUGUGUGUGUGUGUGUGUGUGUGUCAGUCAGCUGUUGGGAUCGAUGAGGCCUUCAGGUGAACGAAGCACCGUCAGCUCAAAGGCUGAGAGGAGGAGAGAGACCAGCUUGAAAGGAAACAUUUAGGAUGAAUCUCACAUAUUAUUUUAUAAUACAAUGAACAAUAAACAUGUCCUUUCUUA